rnacentral:rRNA from 1 species
CACGUAGUUAGCCGGGGCUUCUUAGUCAGGUACCGUCAUUAUCUUCCCUGCUGAUAGAGCUUUACAUACCGAAAUACUCCUUCACUCACGCGGCGUCGCUGCAUCAGGGUUCCCCCCAUUGUGCAAUAUUCCCCACUGCUGCCUCCCGUAGGAGUCUGGGCCGUGUCUCAGUCCCAAUGUGGCCGUUCACUCUCUCAAGCCGGCUACUGAUCGUCGCCUUGGUAAGCCGUUACCUUACCAACCAGCUAAUCAGACGCGGGUCCAUCCCAUAGCGAUAAAUCUUUCAAAACAGGACCAUGCGGUCCCGCUUUCCCAUGCGGUAUUAGCAGCCGUUUCCAGCUGUUCGUCCCCCUCUAGUGGGGCAGGGUUACCCACGCGUUACUCCACCCGUCCCGCCACUCAGUCAUCCCAUAUGCUUCCUUUCCCCCAGCAAGCUGGUUCUGUCUGCGGGUGGGAUGCUUUCGUUCGACUUGCAUGUGUUAGGCACGCCGCAGCGUUCA